rnacentral:rRNA from 1 species
GGGAGCGGCUUGGACUAGAGUAAUACUGGGUCUCCAGAUCCGCAAUUAAGCACGCUUGGGCUACAGUAGUACUGGGAUAGGUAACCUCCCGGGAAGUCCUAUUGUUGCACCCU